rnacentral:rRNA from 1 species
UGGGGAAUAUUGCACAAUGGGCGCAAGCCUGAUGCAGCCAUGCCGCGUGUGUGAAGAAGGCCUUCGGGUUGUAAAGCACUUUCAGCGAGGAGGAAGGUGGUGAGCUUAAUACGCUCAUCAAUUGACGUUACUCGCAGAAGAAGCACCGGCUAACUCCGUGCCAGCAGCCGCGGUAAUACGGAGGGUGCAAGCGUUAAUCGGAAUUACUGGGCGUAAAGCGCACGCAGGCGGUUUGUUAAGUCAGAUGUGAAAUCCCCGGGCUCAACCUGGGAACUGCAUUUGAAACUGGCAAGCUAGAGUCUCGUAGAGGGGGGUAGAAUUCCAGGUGUAGCGGUGAAAUGCGUAGAGAUCUGGAGGAAUACCGGUGGCGAAGGCGGCCCCCUGGACGAAGACUGACGCUCAGGUGCGAAAGCGUGGGGAGCAAAACAGGAUUAGAUACCCUGGUAGUCCACGCUGUAAAACGAUGUCGAUUUUGGAGGUUGUGCCCUUGAGGCGUGGCUUCCGGAGCUAACGCGUUAAAUCGACCGCCUGGGGAGUACGGCC